UGGAUGAGCAGCGAACGGGUGAGUAACGCGUGGGGAAUCUGCCUUUGAGCGGGGGACAACAUUUGGAAACGAAUGCUAAUACCGCAUAAAAACUUUAAACACAAGUUUUAAGUUUGAAAGAUGCAAUUGCAUCACUCAAAGAUGAUCCCGCGUUGUAUUAGCUAGUUGGUGAGGUAAAGGCUCACCAAGGCGAUGAUACAUAGCCGACCUGAGAGGGUGAUCGGCCACAUUGGGACUGA
rnacentral:rRNA from 1 species